AGAAUGUCUAAAUAUUUGUCCCUAACAAACACAGUCGGGGCGGAUGACCUGGAAGGCCUGGGCCGAUGCUUCCGUGUGGUCCCAGCACGGCCGGGCGGUGUUUCCUUGCUGCUGGACACUUCCACGUGGGGCCAAUCGGGUGUCUGUGGAGGAGCGUCUCUGGCCAUCGAGACCCGGUAAACAAGAAACACAAUGUACACUGCAGCCGCGGCUCCUCAGGAUCCUCCUGCUCCGUGGGCCCCACCCAGGUUCAUGACUUUCUCUUCCAUUGCUCACCUGGAAUAGAGCCAGUCCCCAUUCCCGUGCCUUACCUGUUCACACUUUUUUUUUUAGGCGGUACCGGGUAUUGAACCCAGGACCUUGUACAUGGAAAAGAGGCACUCAGCCACUGAGCUACACUGCUUUCCAGUGAGAAUUUGUGUUUUCGUUUAUUUUGGGGAGGUAUCUGGGACCAAAUCCGGGACCUCGUACAUGGGAAACAGGCGCUCAACCUGCUUUUUAAAAGAUUUAUUUAUUUAUUUGUUUGUUUAUCCCCCAUCCCCAUUGUCCAUUCUCUGUAUGUUCUUCUGUGUCUGCUUGUAUUUUCAUUAGGGAGCUUUGGGAACCGAUCCUCGGACCUUCCAGAGUCGGAGAGAGGUGAUCAUUCUCUUGUGCCACCUCAGCUCCCUGUUCUGCUAUGUCUUCUUGUCUCCCCUUUGUGUCUCUUGUUGUGUCAUCUUGCUGUGCCAGCUCUCCGUGUCGGCCAGCAGUCCUGCACGGGGUGGCAUUCCUGCGUGGGACAGCACUCCCCCGUGGGCUGGCACUCCGUGUGGGCCAGCUCGGCACACGGGCCAGCUUGCCAUCACCAGAAGGCCCUGGGCAUUGAACCCUGGACGUCCCAUAUGGUAAACGGGAGCCCAACUCCUUGAGCCACAUCCGUUUCCCUGCUCACACCUUUAGGAUCUUAACAGAGCCUGCCCAUUUUCCUUCUGGACCGCUCCCUCCCCAGGGGUAUUCCCAAGGCUUUGUGAAACCUUGUUCAUUCCCUCCAUCAGAAUGCUUCAGAACACAGCUGAGUCUGUGACCCGACACAGGUGCAAAAGGAGCCCAGUCCCUGCUGCGGGGACUUCUUUGCUGAUAAGAGCUUGGGAAAAAUUUGUGGUGGGCAGAACCCUGGCCUGGAGAGGGCAUCAGCCCCAGGUUUGACACUCCCCUUGUGUCCUUGGGGUGACUGCAGAGGCACAGUAAUGAAGGAACUCACGAACUGCACAGCUCUGUGGCCCUGUCUGUCGUCAUCGUUGAUCACAGUCUGGAAGCAGAACGCAACGCCUGACCCUCCUGCAGAGCGGGAACUAUCGAUCUGCUGAUGGACUACGCACCGUCUCUUCUUUGACGGGAUCCUCCCGGGGGUCUGAUGAUCAAUCAGGU
rnacentral:lncRNA from 1 species